AAGGGCACCACAAGAACGCGUGGAGCAUGUGGCUUAAUUUGACUCAACGCGGGAAAUCUUACCGGGUCCGGACACACUGAGGAUUGACAGGCAAUCAUGUGAUGCCUUUGCUUUUUUUUUUUUUUAAAUAAUAGCAUUGGCUUACAUAUAAAUAUGCUAGUCCUUUCAUGAUUAUGUGAUAGGUGGUGCAUGGCCGUUCUUAGUUCGUGGAGUGAUCUGUCUGCUUAAUUGCGUUUCGCAUAGGACUUAUACUAAAAGUGCGCUGCAUUUCUUGUGUCUCACUUUUUUUACGUAACCGUAGAGGAGUGUUUCACUAUGACUGGAAGUGUAUGCGCAUGCUAAGUUCUGAAAGCAACGAACGUGACCGCAUCCUCUUGUUGCCCUUUACCUCAACAAACGCUUUGGAUUCUCGCAAUCUGAUUCUGCUGUCGUGACCAAAGAGGCCUUAUAAAACUAGAGGGACCGCUGCGACUUUUUUAAACCAGAGGAAGGUUGCGGCAAUAACAGGUCUGUGAUGCCCUUAGAUGUUCCGGGCUGCACACGUGCUACAAUGAUUAUUGCAGUGAGCAUCUCAUUUUUUUUAAACACUGUUUAACGAAAAAAAAUAUUAUUUUUUUUAGAGUUUCGCAGUCAAGCCUGCUUCGAAAGUUUUGCAGGUAAUCAAUUGGAAGUAAUGAUUUCUUUAAAAUUCAAAUUAAUUUUUGAUUUUUGUGUGAAGGCACACAAUAUGCUGCUCCCCUCCCUGGCAGUUUGCCUCAUUUUGGUCAUUCUGUCUUCAGUGUGUGGGGAUGUUUUUUCGGCAUGUGCUUUUUGUCAAUUCAUGGUGGGGACAGACCAUUAUUAAUUGUUGGUCUCGGUCUUAACUAGGAAUGCCUUGUACGGGUCUUUGGUUCAACAAACCACCCGGAAUACGUCCCUGCCCUUUGUACACACCGCCCGUCGCUCUUACCGAUGGACUUCUCUGUGAGUUUGAGGGACUGGGUACCUUAGCCUAAGAAUUUAAUUUUUUUUUUUUUUUUGAGCUAUAAUCACUUAUGGAAACUUAAACGAACAGUGUGGUCUAAAGGAAAGAGAAGUCGUAACAAGGCAUCGGUAGGUGAACCUGCAGAAGGAUCA
rnacentral:rRNA from 1 species